UACGUAGGUGGCAAGCGUUGUCCGGAUUUACUGGGCGUAAAGAGCGCGCAGGCGGUCGGAUAAGUCGAAUGUGAAAGCCCCCGGCUCAACUGGGGAGGGUCAUUCGAUACUGUUCGACUCGAAGGCAGGAGAGGGAAGUGGAAUUCCCGGUGUAGUGGUGAAAUGCGUAGAUAUCGGGAGGAACACCAGUGGCGAAGGCGGCUUGCUGGGCAUGAUCUGACGCUGAGGCGCGAAAGCGUGGGGAGCGAACAGG
rnacentral:rRNA from 1 species